rnacentral:rRNA from 1 species
UACAGAGGGUGCAAGCGUUGUUCGGAAUUACUGGGCGUAAAGCGCGUGUAGGCGGCGGCGUAAGUCGGAUGUGAAAGCCCUCGGCUUAACCGAGGAAGUGCAUUCGAUACUGUGUCGCUUGAGUACCGGAGGGGAUGGCGGAAUUCCCGGUGUAGAGGUGAAAUUCGUAGAUAUCGGGAGGAACACCUGUGGCGAAGGCGGCCAUCUGGACGGUGACUGACGCUGAGACGCGAAAGCGUGGGAAGCAAACAGG